AAGUCGUGGAGCAUGGAAAUUAUUUGAUGUUGAAGUAUAACCUACUGAGGUAACAUGCACACGACAUUCGACUUUGCCAAUUGACCGCUCAAGGAAGUCGCCGACUAUCAAUUUGAAUACAACUCCGACUAAUUCUCUAAGUAAGAUUAAAGGAACACUUCCGAAUCCUUCACUUUUUUAUCCAAAAGCUUGUACUGCUAUUAAAAUCUAUUAAAAGUAAGGCACAAUGUUGCCGAGCUCGAUAAUGAGGACUCUCCUCAUAUGUGUUUGCAUGACCAUCCUGUACAACUCAAUCUCUGGAGAUUGUAACAAAGCAGCAGUGAGAAAUGCUCUGAUACGAGACAACAAUUUGGCUGAGGAAGAGGAAGUGGUGAUUUAUUUGGUACUGAUUUAUCAAGCUCAUUUUUU